rnacentral:rRNA from 1 species
CCAAACUGUUGCCUCGGCGGGAUCUCUGCCCCGGGUGCGUCGCAGCCCCGGACCAAGGCGCCCGCCGGAGGACCAACCAAAACUCUUUUUGUAUACCCCCUCGCGGGUUUUUUAUAAUCUGAGCCUUCUCGGCGCCUCUCGUAGGCGUUUCGAAAAUGAAUCAAAACUUUCAACAACGGAUCUCUUGGUUCUGGCAUCGAUGAAGAACGCAGCGAAAUGCGAUAAGUAAUGUGAAUUGCAGAAUUCAGUGAAUCAUCGAAUCUUUGAACGCACAUUGCGCCCGCCAGUAUUCUGGCGGGCAUGCCUGUCCGAGCGUCAUUUCAACCCUCGAACCCCUCCGGGGGGUCGGCGUUGGGGAUCGGCCCUGCCUUUUGGCGGUGGCCGUCUCCGAAAUACAGUGGCGGUCUCGCCGCAGCCUCUCCUGCGCAGUAGUUUGCACACUCGCAUCGGGAGCGCGGCGCGUCCACAGCCGUUAAACACCCAACUUCUGAAAUGUUGACCUCGGAUCAGGUAGGAAUACCCGCUGAACUUAAGCAUAUCAAAGCC